rnacentral:tRNA from 1 species
GGCCCUAUCGUCUAGUGGUUAGGACACUAGGUUCUCAGCCUAGGAACCGGGGUUCGACUCCCCGUGGGGUCACCA